CUUGAAUUUUCUGCAGUUGUAGUCACACACUAAAACCUGUUGCUUCGUUUGUACGGUCUACAGCUGAGGUUCUCUUCUGGAUCUGCUGCUAAGGCCAAUCAGCUCACAACACAAAAGAGAUGAAGAAUGGAAGAUGCUGGCAGAGCAAGACCAAGUAGAAGAAGUGAAGAGUGG